rnacentral:rRNA from 1 species
UACGUAGGGUGCAAGCGUUGUCCGGAAUUAUUGGGCGUAAAGAGCGUGUAGGCGGCUUGGUAGGUCCGCUGUGAAAACUCGAGGCUCAACCUCGAGAUGUCGGCGGAAACCAUCUGGCUAGAGUCCGGAAGAGGAGAGUGGAAUUCCUGGUGUAGCGGUGAAAUGCGCAGAUAUCAGGAAGAACACCCGUGGCGAAGGCGCUCUCUGGGACGGUACUGACGCUGAGACGCGAAAGCGUGGGGAGCGAACAGG